GACAGAGGUGCCAAGCGUUAGGCGGAAUCACUGGGCUUAAAGCGUGUGUAGGCGGGUGCCUAAGUACCUUGUGAAAUCCCACGGCUCAACCGUGGAACUGCUGGGUAUACUGGGUGCCUUGGGUCAUCUAGGGGCUGCCGGAACAAAUGGUGGAGCGGUGAAAUGCGUAGAUAUCAUUUGGAACGCCAAUGGUGAAAACAGCUCGCUGGGAAUGAUCUGACACUGAGACGCGAAAGCCAGGGGAGCGAACGGG
rnacentral:rRNA from 1 species